AUCUAUGGCCAUACCACCCUGAGCGUGCUGAUCUCAACUAAGCAGGGUGGGGCUUGGUUAGUACUUGUCAGGGAGACCACCUGUGAUACCUAGCGCUGUGCACU
ensembl:rRNA 5S_rRNA 5S ribosomal RNA